rnacentral:rRNA from 1 species
UUCCCCUAGUAACUGCGAGUGAAGCGGGAAAAGCUCAAAUUUAAAAUCUGGCGGUCUUUGGCUGUCCGAGUUGUAAUCUAGAGAAGUGUUAUCCGCGCUGGACCGUGUACAAGUCUCCUGGAAUGGAGCGUCAUAGAGGGUGAGAAUCCCGUCUUUGACACGGACUGCCAGGGCUUUGUGAUGCGCUCUCAAAGAGUCGAGUUGUUUGGGAAUGCAGCUCAAAAUGGGUGGUAAAUUCCAUCUAAAGCUAAAUAUUGGCGAGAGACCGAUAGCGAACAAGUACCGUGAGGGAAAGAUGAAAAGAACUUUGGAAAGAGAGUUAAACAGUACGUGAAAUUGCUGAAAGGGAAACGCUUGAAGUCAGUCGCGUUGUCCGGGGAUCAACCUUGCUUUUGCUGGGUGUACUUUCCGGUUGACGGGUCAGCAUCAAUUUUGACCGUUGGAUAAAGGUUUUGGGAAAGUGGCUUCCUCGGAAGUGUUAUAGCCCAGGGUCGCAUACAACGGUUGGGAUUGAGGAACUCAGCACGCCGAAAGGCCGGG